UGGGGAAUAUUGGACAAUGGGCGCAAGCCUGAUCCAGCAAUGCCGCGUGUGUGAAGAAGGCCUGUGGGUUGUAAAGCACUUUCAGGUGGGAGGAAGGUACCGUAAGGUAUUUGACGUUACCACCAGAAGAAGCACCGGCUAACUCUGUGCCAGCAGCCGCGGUAAUACAGAGGGUGCGAGCGUUAAUCGGAAUGACUGGGCGUAAAGCGCGCGUAGGCGGUUAUACAAGUUGGGUGUGAAAUCCCUGGGCUCAACCUAGGAAUUGCAUUCAAAACUAUAUAGCUUGAGUGGGGUAGAGGUGAGUGGAAUUUCCGGAGUAGCGGUGAAAUGCGUAGAUACCGGAAGGAACACCAGUGGCGAAGGCGACUCACUGGACCUUAACUGACGCUGAGGUGCGAAA
rnacentral:rRNA from 1 species